CUACGGGGCGCUGCAGUGGGGAAUCUUAGACAAUGGGGGAAACCCUGAUCUAGCCAUGCCGCGUGAGUGACGAAGGCCUCAGGGUCGUAAAGCUCUUUCGCUGGGGAAGAUAAUGACUGUACCCAGUAAAGAAACCCCGGCUAACUCCGUGCCAGCAGCCGCGGUAAUACGGAGGGGGUUAGCGUUGUUCGGAAUUACUGGGCGUAAAGCGCGCGUAGGCGGACUGGAAAGUUGGGGGUGAAAUCCCGGGGCUCAACCCCGGAACGGCCCCCAAAACUAUCAGUCUAGAGUUCGAGAGAGGUGAGUGGAAUUCCGAGUGUAGAGGUGAAAUUCGUAGAUAUUCGGAGGAACACCAGUGGCGAAGGCGGCUCACUGGCUCGAUACUGACGCUGAGGUGCGAAAGCGUGGGGAGCAAACAGGAUUAGAUACCCCCGUAGUC
rnacentral:rRNA from 1 species